rnacentral:lncRNA from 1 species
CGCUGCUACUGCCUCUGAGCGGGGCGGCGGCGGGGGCGAGCCCGGCGGGGAGCGAGAGGGACUGGGACGAGGUGAGGCCUGCUCUGCCCGCGGAAGCCCCGGGCUCUCCUGCUCCCUCCACCGCCGCCGCCGGGGAGGCCCGGGCUUUCUUCCGCGGGGGCGGGGAGGCUCCGCCGGUGUCCGAGUCGGAGGAGGAGGAAGCGGAGGCCAGAGUUUCCUCACCGAGAGCGGCCGUGGUGGGAAGCCGGGAGGGCGAGGAGGGGGAGGGCGGGGGGGGAGGGGGAAGGGGGUGAGGGGAGGCGGAGCGGAGCCCUAUGCCCCCCGGGGGUCCCGGAGGCAGCGCCGCAGCCCGCUCGGGGCUCCCUCUGGCGAUGGCGGCCGCCGCUGCCCUGAGCCCCCGGCCGGCAGCCCCAGGCGCCCGGCCCGCUCCCGUUUGCUGCCCGCUGGGUUUGUCUCCUCUCAGCCCAGCUGCAGCUUAAUGGAGUCCGGGCCGGGACGUCACAGGAAAUUCCUAUACUGCCCCCUACACACACUUCCGCCGCCCGGGGCUGGGGGUGGGGUAUGGGCCCUAUAGGUGCCGGGGGGCGCGACAGGGCAGGCCUCAAGGCCGCUGCAGGGGCCUCCCGGAUCGCUCCUGUAGUGCCCGGCUGGUCUGCGAGGGGGAAUUGCAGAGAAGAUGGCACAAGGCUUCUCUCUGAGAUGUGCAGCAACAGGACAAGAGACAAAAGUGAGAAGCUGCAUCCAGGGAAGUUCCAGUUGUGGGAUGAAGAAUGGUUUUGUCUUCCAGCUUCUGAUAAGAAAAACAAAAGUAAAAGAAGACACAGGUAUGUGCUAGCUGGAAGAAACCUGUUCCAACACUCGGAUUAUAAGAAAAAGAGUAUGUUGAGAGAAGAAAGAAGUCUGACAUACUUUCUACUUGAUCUGAAAUUCAUCUCCAUGCAUCAGCUUUCUGAGUAUUUUUUAAUGCUGUAGUCCCACGUUACAGGUAUAUGCUGCAGGAUAAAGAGCAUCAGUCCCUUCUGGAAAUGCCUUGGGAAUACAUUACCUGGAGGAAGCACGAGAAUUUGUGAAAUUCUGAAGAGAGAAGAACAAAAGGUACUAAAUCUGAGGCUGUGGCUGCUAAAAUGAGCUGCUGAGCACUGGAGAGCUGCAGAACCUCUGCACCUGUUAUUUCCAGUAAUAGAAAAGAAACCCAAGUGUCUCAAAGGUGUGGAUGCUAUUUUGUUUGGUUUGGGAGAAGUGUUAAAUAAAAUAACCGUUCUGAAAGCAAAAGUUCUUUUCUAAAGGUGGCUAUUCUCUGUAUUCAUCUGGUUUCCCUAUUCCAAUUCCCUUCAGCUGAUAAUGCUGCGUCCUCAGGUCCCACACCCUCCAUCGUGGCCUGUGUAACAUGCAGUAUUUCAAAGGAGCACAGCUGGGUGCUGGACUGUAAUUUGUCAUGCAGCUAGGACCACAUCCAUCAGUUUAUUUGAAGGUAAGGACCAGCACCUUGGAAGUGGAUGGAGAGCUAAUGGACUCAUGUUUCUGCUGUGUUCACAGGGACUUAAACCAGGGAGAAAAGGGUCAGGCACGUCCAUAUAAUUUCACUUUUUGCCUUAGAUGCCAUGAUUUGUAGUAGUUUGGUCAGAAAUUACAAAGGAGCAGCUCUCUGCUAUGAGUUCCUCAUGCCAUAGAGAGCUGUAAUGAGUUUAUACCAACAUGGAGCUAAGAGUUUUCAGUCAGUACUGGGACAAAUUUCAGAGAUGCAUUGAGUGAAGGGUAAAUCUUUCCAUCACUUAAAUAUCUCAGGAUACUUAAGGUAUCCUCAUGGUAUAGUAUAAGAGGUCAGUGGGACAGAAGUGUCCUAAAUGCAUCUUGAUAGAUUUUCCUGUCACUGUAUAUCAGAAACCGUUGUAAUUAGUCAGCCACUAGCAAUGAAUAAUGGCUAGAAAUAUGGCUAAUGGAAAAUACAUGUUUCAGAAUCAGUAUUGGGAAAGACUGUGGGAUCUUGAAAGUGUUUGGCUGUGGAACUGUCUCCUUGCAAAAUGAGAAACAAGUAUUUUGCCUCUGUGUUCAUUGCAGAUCUCCAAAUACAUAGCUGGAGUGUAAAUUAAGACAAGAGACAGUAAAACCCAGAAUAGUUGCCUUGGAGUGUAGUCCUAAACUCAGUUUAAUGGUUGGUUUCACUUUGUCUUUUAUAAUACCUACAGUAUAUCUCUACUUUUAUAGGUAUGCAUGUAUAUGUGUGUGUAUACAUACAAGUGUUCCAGAAAGAAAUGUUUUAUUUUGGUUUUCUUGCAAGUAUCAGUAUUUCAAUCUUAACACAGGUGCAUCCAGAUAUUAAAGUAACCAUGGCAAAAAAUAGAAUAAUAAAAAAAGAAUUCCAAAGACUUCUUCUGUACCUAAUUUGCAGCUCUUUUCAAAAUGUGUGGUUAUGAAUAAACCAUUUACUUUCACAAGCAUAGGCUCUGCAGGAUUUCAGAUACAAAAGAAUUAAAAGGUCAGAGAAUUACAAUGCCUUUACUGCAUUCCUGUAUGACAGCAAAGUUUGUUACUAUUUGCCGUGUUCAUCCUUAAUUAAAGCAUCAAAUCACAUGUAUAGUCUGGAGCAGCUCAAUUAUGAAAGGUUACAUCCAUCAGUUUCUUCUUGUUUAUUAAUGGCUGGCCCUGACUCUUGAUUCAGUCAGCACUCUUUCAUGAGGAUAAAAGUACAUAUUAUGUUC